CAAAGAAGAACCCUCCUUUCUCCUUAUUCAUUCACCCAUUCAUUCGUCCAUCUAUUUACUAUCAAUAUGGUCCUUUGUUUUAUUCAGUGUGGCAGGACCAAGAUCGAGGUGUCACCAGCCCCCAGAAGGUUGUCUGUGACAGAGAAAGGGCACCGGGAAGAGAUGGAACAGGAAGACAUCUUUGAGGAUGAUCUUGAACCCAGCUCCAGCAACCCAUGGAGGUCUCAGGUGGCUCAUGGAAAACCAGGAUUCCUCAGUUUACACAUCAAUAUCCUGGAUCUCAUACUAAACCUCCCGGCCUCAUGCCAGUUUUCUCUCUUUUGUCUCCUACAUGUGCCC